UACGUAGGGUGCGAGCGUUGUCCGGAAUUAUUGGGCGUAAAGAGCACGCAGGCGGUUUGGCAAGUCGGAUGUGAAAACCCGGAGCUCAACUCCGGACCUGCAUCCGAAACUGCCCGACUAGAGGUAGGUAGGGGAGAUCGGAAUUCCUGGUGUAGCGGUGAAAUGCGCAGAUAUCAGGAGGAACACCGGUGGCGAAGGCGGAUCUCUGGGCCUUACCUGACGCUCAGGUGCGAAAGCUAGGGGAGCGAACAGG
rnacentral:rRNA from 1 species